rnacentral:rRNA from 1 species
UACGUAGGUGGCAAGCGUUGUCCGGAUUUACUGGGCGUAAAGAGCGCGCAGGCGGUCGUUUCAAGUCGCGUGUGAAAGCCCCCCGGCUCAACUGGGGAGGGUCACGCGAUACUGAUCGACUCGAAGGCAGGAGAGGGUAGUGGAAUUCCCGGUGUAGUGGUGAAAUGCGUAGAGAUCGGCAGGAACACCCAGGGGGAAACCAGUCGACUGGGCAUCUACUGACGCUGAGG